rnacentral:rRNA from 1 species
GUCGAGGAUCUUCCGCAAUGGGCGAAAGCCUGACGGAGCGACACCGCGUGCAGGAUGAAGGCCUUCGGGUUGUAAACUGCUGUCACGCCAUAGGAACCGCUGGACGUUAACAGCGUCCAGCCUGACUAAAGCGAGAGGAAGCACCGGCUAACUCUGUGCCAGCAGCCGCGGUAAGACAGAGGGUGCAAACGUUGUUCGGAAUCACUGGGCAUAAAGCGCACGUAGGCGGUCCGAAAAGUCAGGUGUGAAAUCCCCCGGCUCAACCGGGGAACUGCGCCUGAUACUGCCGGGCUCGAGAUUGGUAGGGGUGGAUGGAACUCCAGGUGGAGCGGUGAAAUGCGUAGAUAUCUGGAGGAACACCGGAGGCGAAAGCGGUCCACUGGGCCAAUUCUGACGCUGAGGUGCGAAAGCUAGGGUAGCAAACGGGAUUAGAAACCCUUGUAGUCC